UGUUCCAUACCACUAGGAAUGUGCUCAAUUUCAUCUGACGUUGGAAGUUAAGUAGGAUAGACCCUGGUUAGUACUUGGUCUUGGAAUACUGGGUGCUAUAAGAU
rnacentral:rRNA from 1 species